rnacentral:rRNA from 1 species
UACGUAGGUGGCAAGCGUUGUCCGGAUUUACUGGGCGUAAAGAGCGCGCAGGCGGUCGAAUAAGUCGAAUGUGAAAGCCCCCGGCUUAACUGGGGAGGGUCAUUCGAUACUGCUCGACUUGAAGGCAGGAGAGGGUAGUGGAAUUCCCGGUGUAGUGGUGAAAUGCGCAGAUAUCGGGAGGAACACCAAUGGCGAAGGCAGCUCGCUGGGACGUGACUGACGCUGAGACGCGAAAGCGUGGGGAGCAAACAGG